CGUUACCGCUUUGCAAAUUUAGCUGAUUUGCACCAAAAAUAUGUUUGUGGUUUUGGCCAUUUGACAUUUGAGUGUGGCGGUGGGGUGGGGGGAAAUUACACACCUAAGGAGAUGCUUAAACUCUGCCAAAACCUUCAGUGAAAGAGUGAGUAAUCAUGCAUAAUCAUGCUUUAGAAAGCUGCAUUGAUCUUGUGAUGAUGCUGAUAAAAAGGGCCAGUCAAGGAUCCAGGAUCAUAAAUAGCCUCUACAUCGCUUGUCCUCUGAAGAAGACUCGCACAUCAUGCUUGAACUGUCAGCAUCAAUGAGAGUCAUUGUAAAGGUGGUCAUGCUUCUGACUGGACUCUGUUUCUUGGGCAUAUAUCAGUCCAAUGACAUGCCUAAAAGAAAAUGUCACUGUGGACACCAAAACUGUCGACCAUAUUGUUGAUUUCUUCGAGCAGAACUUUAACAGGUUUCAGAGAGCCGAUGAUGGCCAUCAGUACACAUCAAUGUGCCAAAGCAUCUGUGUCAACCGGACUUCCAUCGUGCACAGAAUGAAUUCCUGACUUAGGAGAAUGCCACAAAUAUAAAAAAUGCUAUUACUGAUGAAGGCAAGGCGCAAAUUAUACCCCUGAAAAAGUGGAGAAGAUUAAGCACACAGCAAACUUUGUGUAAUCACUUUUGUAA